UUCAGCCUUGGCUUAAAGUAAACUUGAUGUCGAAGAUUGUUUGGGCUGAUGGUAUUCCCUGGAAUUUGGUCUUUGUUUUCACAUGUUGGUACAUAUGGAAAUGGAGGAAUUUCUAUGUGUUUCAUGGUGAUGAAGAGUUGGCUUUUGACUCUAUACAGAUUAUUACUGCUGCUGUGAAGGAAUGGUUUAAAGCUUCUAAUGUUUCUUCUAUCAAGUGUGCUAAGGUUGAGGCUUGGUUUGCUUGGGAACCUCCUCCUGCUGGGGUCUUUAAACUGAAUGUUGAUGGCUCUAGGAAAGUUGCUUCUGGCCAUAUUGGUGCUGGAGGUGUGCUGCGUGAUGUUUCUGGUGAUUGGUGUAGUGGUUUUGCAAUUAAUUUGGGAAAAGGGCAGAUUCUAGAGGCUGAAUUAUGGGGCUUGUUUUUUGGUCUGAGGAUGGCUGUUGAGAAAGGGUUUAAUAACCUUAUCGUUGAGAUGGAUUCGGUUGUUGCUAUCCAGCUUGUUCAGCAGCAUGAUUCUCUUACUUUGCACCCUCUUGCAUCUUUGGUCUCUAGUUGUUGGCAAUUAAUGCAUAAGCUUGAGAAUUGCAGCCUCCAUCAUAUUUUUAGGGAGAA
rnacentral:lncRNA from 1 species